AGGAGGGAGGAGAUGGGCCACGUUC
rnacentral:miRNA from 8 species